CGCGGAGUGGAGCAGUUGGUAGCUCGCCAGGCUCAUAACCUGGAGGUCGCCCGUUCGAGUCGGACCUCCGCAACCA
rnacentral:tRNA from 1 species